rnacentral:rRNA from 1 species
AUGAAAGGAAUCUUUUGGAAUAGCAGAGGUCUGAAAGACUUGGCUAAAAGAAGGUUUCUUGCUGAGGCUUCUAUUGAGCAUAAGUUGGACUUUAUCGCUUUAUCGGAAACUGGUAGAGUCGACUUUUCGCCUCAAUUUCUCAAUACGUUGUCGGGAGGUAUUGAGUUUGAUUGGCAUUGUCUACCGCCGCGAGGAAGAUCAGGGGGGAUUUUACUCGGAGUUAGAUGCGACUCGUUAGAAGUCCGAAGCGUGGUCAUGGGGGAUUUCGCAGUUAAGUUUAGGGUGAGGUCGAAGGCCGAUGGGUUUAACUGGGCUUUGGUGGCAGUUUAUGGAGCCGCACAGCCCGAGCUUAAACCAGAUUUUUUGGCUGAUUUGGUUAGGAUUUGUGGUUCUGAGCAACUGCCUAUCCUAGUAGGGGGUGAUUUUAAUAUUAUCAGAAGGCAUGAUGAGAAGAAUAAUGAUAAUUUCGACGGUAGAUGGUCGUUCAUGUUUAACACCAUCAUUGAAAGUCUGGAUCUACGUGAGAUUGAGUUUUCGGGCAGGAAGUUUACUUGGGCUAAUGCACUACCUAAUCCGACGUUUGAGAAGCUGGAUCGGGUUCUGGCUAGCGUCGAAUGGGAGCAUAAAUUCCCUUGUGUAACGGUGCAGGCACUUACACGGGGCAUUUCGGACCAUACGCCGUUAUUCAUUGAUUCUGGGGAGGCCACUCAUGUGGGAAAUAAGAAUGUCUUCUCGUUCGAGCUUGCGUGGUUCGAGAGACAAGGGUUCUUAGAUACUGUUGCCAGAGUAUGGGCUAAGGAUGUAGGAGGUAAAACUGCACUUGAGCGCUGGCAGAAUAAAAUUAGGCACUUGAGAAGCUUCCUACGAGGGUGGGCUAAACAUCUUAGUGGGGUUUAUAAGAUUGAGAAGGAACAACUCCUUUCGCUUAUUCAGUCCCUGGAUGUAAAAGCUGAGAACAUGAUCCUACCAGCCUCGGAGCUUUAG